UACGUAGGGUGCAAGCGUUAAUCGGAAUUACUGGGCGUAAAGCGUGCGCAGGCGGUUUGAUAAGACGGAGGUGAAAUGCCCGGGCUCAACCUGGGAACGGCCUACGUGACUGUCAAGCUAGAGUGUGUCAGAGGGGGGUAGAAUUCCACGUGUAGCAGUGAAAUGCGUAGAGAUGUGGAGGAAUACCGAUGGCGAAGGCAGCCCCCUGGGAUAACACUGACGCUCAUGCACGAAAGCGUGGGGAGCAAACAGG
rnacentral:rRNA from 1 species